AAUAGAUACCCUGGUAGUCCACGCCGUAAACGAUGAGUGCUAAGUGUUAGAGGGUUUCCGCCCUUUAGUGCUGCAGCUAACGCAUUAAGCACUCCGCCUGGGGAGUACGGCCGCAAGGCUGAAACUCAAAGGAAUUGACGGGGGCCCGCACAAGCGGUGGAGCAUGUGGUUUAAUUCGAAGCAACGCGAAGAACCUUACCAGGUCUUGACAUCCUCUGCCAACCCUAGAGAUAGGGCGUUCCCCUUCGGGGGACAGAGUGACAGGUGGUGCAUGGUUGUCGUCAGCUCGUGUCGUGAGAUGUUGGGUUAAGUCCCGCAACGAGCGCAACCCUUGAUCUUAGUUGCCAGCAUUCAGUUGGGCACUCUAAGGUGACUGCCGGUGACAAACCGGAGGAAGGUGGGGAUGACGUCAAAUCAUCAUGCCCCUUAUGACCUGGGCUACACACGUGCUACAAUGGAUGGUACAAAGAGCUGCGAACCCGCGAGGUAAGCCAAUCUCAUAAAGCCAUUCUCAGUUCGGAUUGUAGG
rnacentral:rRNA from 1 species